CCUACGGGAGGCAGCAGUGGGGAAUCUUGCGCAAUGGGGGCAACCCUGACGCAGCCAUGCCGCGUGAAUGAUGAAGGCCUUAGGGUUGUAAAGUUCUUUUGCCCGUGACGAUGAUGACGGUAACGGGAGAGUAAGCUCCGGCUAACUUCGUGCCAGCAGUCGCGGUAAUACGAAGGGGGCUAGCGUUGUUCGGAAUUACUGGGCGUAAAGCGCGCGCAGGCGGUUCGAUAAGUUAGGGGUGAAAUCCCUGGGCUCAACCCAGGAAUGGCCUUUAAGACUGUCGAGCUAGAGGACGAGAGAGGUGAGUGGAAUUCCCAGUGUAGAGGUGAAAUUCGUAGAUAUUGGGAAGAACACCGGUGGCGAAGGCGGCUCACUGGCUCGUUUCUGACGCUGAGGCGCGAAAGCGUGGGGAGCAAACAGGAUUAGAUACCCUGGUAGUCCACGCCCUAAACGAUGAGUGCCAGGUGUCGGGAAGCUUAGCUUCUCGGCGCCGCAGCUAACGCCUUAAGCACUCCGCCUGGGGAGUACGGCCGCAAGGUUAAAACUUAAAGGAAUUGACGG
rnacentral:rRNA from 1 species